GAUGAACGCUGGCGGCGUGCCUAAUACAUGCAAGUCGAGCGAACGGACGAGAAGCUUGCUUCUCUGAUGUUAGCGGCGGACGGGUGAGUAACACGUGGAUAACCUACCUAUAAGACUGGGAUGACUUCGGGAAACCGGAGCUAAUACCGGAUAAUAUUUUGAACCGCAUGGUUCAAAAGUGAAAGACGGUCUUGCUGUCACUUAUAGAUGGAUCCGCGCUGCAUUAGCUAGUUGGUAAGGUAACGGCUUACCAAGGCAACGAUGCAUAGCCGACCUGAGAGGGUGAUCGGCCACACUGGAACUGAGACACGGUCCAGACUCCUACGGGAGGCAGCAGUAGGGAAUCUUCCGCAAUGGGCGAAAGCCUGACGGAGCAAUGCCGCGUGAGUGAUGAAGGUCUUCGGAUCGUAAAACUCUGUUAUUAGGGAAGAACAUAUGUGUAAGUAACUGUGCACAUCUUGACGGUACCUAAUCAGAAAGCCACGGCUAACUACGUG
rnacentral:rRNA from 1 species